GCCUGGCUGGCUCAGUUGGUAGAGCAUGCAGCUCUUGAUAUUGUGAUUGUGAGUUCAAACCCCACGUUGGGUG
rnacentral:tRNA from 1 species